ACGGGUGAGUAACGACGUGGGAAGUCUACCCAUCUCUACGGAACAACUCCGGGAAACUGGAGCUAAUACCGUAUACGUCCUUUGGAGAAAGAUUUAUCGGAGAUGGAUGAGCCCGCGUUGGAUUAGCUAGUUGGUGGGGUAAUGGCCUACCAAGGCGACGAUCCAUAGCUGGUCUGAGAGGAUGAUCAGCCACACUGGGACUGAGACACGGCCCAGACUCCUACGGGAGGCAGCAGCA
rnacentral:rRNA from 1 species